GUAACAUAAAAAACCAAUAAUUUGAAGAGAAGAAAGCGUGAGUGCGUGACUCACUUUCUCACUUUUCUCUGUUCACUUUCUCAAUUCUACCUCACCCUCACGCCGCUGCUGCUACUGCUGCCUGGAAACAGAAGAUUAACAGGCUGCCGGAAUUGCCGCUAGUGGAUUCUGGUGCAACUGUGAUUUUACUUGUUGAACAUUUAUUGAGUCCGUCUAAGAUUCGAGGACAAGGGUGUAACGAGGCUAGUAACAUGAAGGGUGAAAUCAAUGGCCUUAAAACUUUGAUUGAGGAUGAUACUCCAAGUGCUUACUAUGUUCAUUGUUUUGCUCAUCAACUCCAACUAACUCUUGUUACCGUUCCUAACAAAGAUAAUGAGUGUGCUUGGCUUUUUGUUACACUUUUGUUGAAUAUUGUUGGAGUUUCUUGUAAAAGAGGAGAAAUGAUUCGAAAAAUUCAAGCUCGAAAACUUGAUGAAGCCUUGAGAUGGGUAAACUUGUAACAGGCCAGGGUUAAAUUAAUAACUUGGUUUGAAAAGGCCGGUGAAACUCGUUGGGGUUCACAUUACAAAACAUUUCUAAAUAGUAUCAACUUGUUUCCUACAAUUGUUAAGGUACUUGUGAUAAUUAGGAAGAAUGACGCCAAUGCGAAUGAUAAGGCAAAAUCCCAAGUAUUGUGUACUCAUUAAAGUCAUUUGCUUUUGUUAUUAUGGAACUAUUAAUGAAGACAAUAUUUGUGUACACUAAUGAUUCAUGUCUUGCUUUGCAAAGAAAAGAUCAAAAAUAUUGUUACUGCCAUGAGACUUGCUAUUAUAACUAAACGAGCAUUGCAAAGAAUGAGAGAUUGUGGAUGAGAGACUGAUAGGUUAUUGUACUAUUGUCAAAAAUAAUUCGUGUAAAACCUUCUAACAAUAUAGUAGGGUAAGUAGGGUUGAAUCCAUAGGGAUAUGGUCGUUUUAAUCUAGUUUAUAUGGUAUAGAGAAACUAAACAAGAUCACAAAUAUUUGAAUUAAAGUUCUAAACUAAUCAAACUAUGAAAAUCAAACUAAAAAGGCUCUAGGGUAAUGGUUCACCAUGUUUAUAACUAUAAUCUAUCAAAAUAUCAUUAAUAAUUCAAUUAUUUAGAUAUCUAGAGUACAUGUUAUUCCUACGGCCGGGUCUUAACGCUCUCAAAUCAACAUAUGCUAGUACGGUCACUCAAUAUAAUCAUAUUUGCUAAUUAUAGGUAAGCCUUUAAAGACUACUAUCUCUCAAUCUAUGACUCAAUAUUAGUAAUAUUUAAUCAGAUAAUUAGUCAGAUUACGAGAUUAAUAAUAAAAACACUAAUCAAUUAGAGAAAUAAGUAACUAAUCAAAGUAUGAAUAAAUAUCAAUCAAUAAUCAUAUCUUAUAAACAUGGAUUUCCAAAUCCUAGAAAUAAAAACUAAAAAAUCAUGAAAUAAAUAAUGAAAUCUAAGUUUACAAAGAAAAGCAAAAUCAAAGAAAUCAAGGAAAAGAACUAAUGAAACUCAUGAAUUAAUGAAGAAGAAUAAAAACUAGGGUUUACAACUAAAAACUAGACAGAAAAAGAGGAGAAAACUAAACUAAAAACUAGAAUACAAAUAACGUGUGUAGCGAGGAGAGAGAGAAGAGAUAUUCCUAAUCUAUAUAAUAUUCAAUAACCUAAUAUGACUAGGAAAGUAAUUUAUAAGAUAAGGAAAGUCUUUGAAUAUAUCAUUAAAUAGGAGGAUUAACGAUCCGCGCGUACGCGUGGCAGAUUCCAGCAGAAAUAGUGCAAUCUUCCGAAAGGCAUAACUCCUUGACUAGAAGUCUCCUCGAGGCGUGCCACCUAUCUUUGGAAAUGUCUUCAAGUCUAGAUUUCAAAAUUUGCUGAAAUCAUUCAAUUUUAAGAAGUAAAUCAAAAGUUAUAGGCGCCGACGAAGGAGUUCGGUGCCGAUGGUGAUGGUAGGCGGCGCCGGUGAACGGGAAAGGUAACAUUGUUUGUGAUGCGCACAGAAGAAGUUUGCUGGUGGGAGGUGAGGGAGCGUAAGGACCGGCUCAUUAGCGAGGCAGAGGAGAAAUGGUGUGGUGCUGGUAGAAGGUCGGGGUGGUGCGUUAGUGCACUGCUGGGUGAGACAAAUGGAAUCCGGUGAUGUGGUGGGAUGCGCCAGCGAACAUAGCUGUGAUCUGGUGGUGAGCAAAGAAUGGGACAAGGGAACGAAGGAAAGAGAAGGUCACUGGAGCAAAGGUUUUAAAAAUUCUCCCUCGCCCGGUCAAGAGAAAAAAUAGCCCAGUUAGGCCAUUUAGCCCGGUCAACCGGGCAAGAAACAGUUAGGCAAAAUUUUGAAAAUCUUCAAAAUUUGCUUGCGCGCCCGGUGGGGUUUUUCUACCCGGUCGACCGGGAGACCAGAUACUUCGCCAAAUUCUUUUUUUUUUUGUCUUUUUUAAACUCGUUCCACCUACAACAAACACAAAAAAACACAUCAAAGUGGGUAAUAACACUAAAAAAAAGGAAGAAACAAAGUCAAAAAUCAAAACAAAAAAGUAAAGAAAAGAGAAAUUAAGUCAAGACUCGAGUUGCCUUUCGAGAAGCGCAAAUUUAAGGUCUUGCAUGACCAUAUAAGAUUAGUAGACUACUCAUAAUAUUUCAAUGCUCUAAGAAGUUUAUCAUAUGUUCCUGCAAACAUCUCAAGAGCAUGUUGUAUAAGAAUGGAAAGGAAAAAUGGAAAAAAUUAGUCCUAAAAAUCUAUGAAAACUACGAAAAGAAAAAGCAAAGGAAAAAUUAUAUUUACAAGAAGAAGAAUAAGAAAAAACGCUAGUCUUUUUACAUGACUCAAAAGAAUGAAAAGAAAUUAAUUAAGUUUACAUUAGUUACAUGAUCAUAAGUGUCAUUCAAAAGGGGAGAAAAAAAAAAGAAAGAUGGAGGAUAUAAUAUAGGGGAAGAGGGAAGAUGAUCAAGUUUUGAGAGAAUGGAACACGAGACUCAAAAACAGUAUGUGGUACUGAUAAAGACUCAUAAAUCACCUCACGCUCAACUUGACUUUUCUCCAAAGAGGAAAUUUGAACUAUGGCUUCUUGCUCCUGCAAAACACCAUCACAUUAGUCGUUCUUUCAAUGUUUUCAUUAUCCCAAUAGCUCUCAUUUAUUAUCCACCCCUCAUUAUCAUAAAAAACAAAUGGGUUGGGGUUCAAAUUGGGAAGAGGGUCAAAACCAUUUACUGAUGUCACAUCACACGAAGAAAAAUCAUGAGAAGUAGACUGACAAUUAGAACAAUAAGGGGGUGGUUUCAUGAAAGUUUGGGGUGAAAGAGCAGAUGAAGACAUCUCCCACUCAUAAGUGUCCCUAGCCAACCACACAAGUAAAUCCCAACAAUAAUCAGGUGAUUGGAAUAGAAAUCCCCCAUUAGAAAUUGAUUCUACCAUCAUCCUAGUCUCUUCAUUCAACCCUUCGUAAACCACUAGGCACAUACCCCACAAUUCAUUUCCAUGAUUAGGACCAAUAAAAUCACCAAACCUAUGAUAGUAAUUCCUAGAAUUACUAACAUGCACAUGGGGUUCACAAAACAUAUGAGGUAAUUCAGGAGAACUCAUGCAAAAAUUGAGAAAAUUUUGAUAUGAUGAAUCAAAACUGUAAACAUGAGAAUCCUAGGAAUUAUUACUAUGUUACCUAGCAAAAGAAUUAUCUCCAUCAUCAAAAUAGCAUGACUCCAUGAUACAAAAAAAAAAUUCUUUUAAAAAAAUAAAUAUUCACAAAAGGGAAAAAAAAUAUACAAUUUAGUCUCACCAACAAUAAAAACUAAAUAGAACUAUACCGUCUCACCGGCAACGACGCCCAAAUUUGAAUCCACAGAGAGAUGGUCGUAUUAAUCUAGUUUCUAUGGUAUAGAGAAACUAAACAAGAUCCCAACUAUUUGAAUUAAAGUUCUAAACUAAUCAAACUACGAAAAUCAAACGAAAAAGGAUUUAGGGUAAUGGUUCACCAUGUUUAUAACUAUAAUCUAUCUAAAUAUCAUUAUUAGUUCAAUUAAUCAGAUAUCUAGAGCACAGGUUAAUCCUAUGGUCGGAUCUUAACACUCUCAAAUCAACAUAUGCUAGUACGGUCGCUCAACAUAAUCAGAUUUGCUAAUUGUAGGUAAACCCCUCAAGAGUACUAUUUCUUGAUCUAUGACUCAGUAUUAGCAAUAUUUAAUUGGGCGAUUGAUCACAUUGCAAGUUUAACAAUAAAAACACUAAUCAAUUAGAGAAAUAAGUAACUAAUCCAACCAUGAAUAAAUAUCAAUCAAUAAUCAUACCAUAUAAACAUGGAUUCCCAAACCCUAUAAAUAAAACUACUCUAUCAUGAAAUAAACAAUGAAAUCUAAGUCUACAAAGAAAAGCAUAAUCAAAGAAAUCAAGGAAAGGAACUAAUGAAACUCAUGAAUUAAUGAAGAACAAUAAAAACCAGGAUGUACAACUAAAAACUAGAGAAAAAGAGAGGAGAAAACUAAACUAAAACCUAGAAUACAAAAUAAUGUGUGUAGCGAGGAGAGAGAGAAGAGAUAUUCCUAAUCUAAAAAAUAUUCAAUAACCUAAAAUCUAGGAAAGUAAUUUACAAGAUAAGGAAAAGUCUUGAAUUCAUUAAAUAGGCGGAUUAAUGAUCCGCGCGUACACGUGGCUGAUUCUAGCAGAAACAUUGCAAUCUUCCAAAGACAUAACCUAUUGUAGGAAAUCUCUUCAAGUUUAGUUUCCAAAUCAGCUGGAAUCAUUCAUUUCUAAGAAGUACAUCAAAAGUUAUGAUCAGAAGAGUAGACGUGACUCCUUUUUCACAUUUUUUCUAAUGAUUUUCCACUUCGUUUUUACUCAAACUCGUAGUAUGACAUAACCAUAUGAUCCUUAUUUAUUGUAGAUUCUUUCCAAGUGCUCCUAAUCCACAAGCAUAUCUAAUCAUACUCCAAAUAUGUUCUCAUGGCCUGAAAUUCAUCAAAAACAAGAAAACAUACCAAAUAGGAGUAGAAUAACAUAACUUAAGAAUAUGAUGCAAUAAUGAAGCUAAAUAUGAAACUAAAUUCUCUAAAAUGCAACCUAAAUGCACCUAAAAACUAUAAAUAAAAAUGACUUAUCAGAGACUCACUUGAAUAAGGUCACCUCAUUUUGCAUGAAAAAUAACAUUAUUGUUUCGGUUAUGGAGGCCCAUUAUAUCCCUUAAGGAAGAUCUAAGCGUUUUCUUCAAGAAGCCACAUACCUUCAUCAUUAUUGACUUGAAGUUUUUAUUGGAAUGAUUGAUUUGUUACUCCAAGAACUUAAUAGUGGAUUUGAUGAAGUGAAUACGGAGUUGUAAAAGACCAAUUUGCGUCGCACCUUAUUCAACAUGCGACGCAGAUACCGAGCCCAAUUUGCGUCGCACGUCACUCAACGUGCGACGCAGAUACCAAGGCCACGAGGCCCAAUUUCUUUUUAUUUCAACAACCCUAGCGCCCAUAUUUCAAUUUGAUAGAUAUUCGCCCAGAUUUCAGCCGCGUCACUCAUCUCCUCUCUCUCUCUCUCUCCCCCUCUCCCUCUCCCUCACUCAACCCUAAUUCCUCUCAGCCGUUUCAUUAUCAUCAUCUCUCUCUGUCUCCCUCUCCCUCUCCCUCACUCAACCGUAAUAAGCCGUUUCAUCUGCUUCUUCAAAUCGAACCAUUUGCUUCUUCACCAACAACGACAACACCAUUUUCAUCUGCUUCUUCAAAUCGAACCAUAUGCAUCUUCACCAACAACGACAACACCAUUUGCAUCUGCAUCUUCAAAUCGAACCAUAUGCUUCUUCACCAACAACGACAACACCAUUUUCACCUGCUUCUUCAAAAAACAUCUGAUUCUUCACCAACAACGACAACACCAUUUUCAUCUGCUUCUUGAAAUCGAACCAUCUGCUUUUUCACCAACAACGACAACACUAUUUUCAUCCGCUUCUUCAAAUCGAACCAUCUGCUUCUUCACCAACAAUGGCGAUUUUUCAUCGUUUUUCCCCCAACGAGCCCUUCGAAUUUUCUUACUAAUGUUUUCACUACUGCUAACAGGUAUUGAAGAACGAGAUUUGAAGAAAGAACGAAGUUCGCUCUGAUUUUGGCAAUUUAGGUUUUUUUUAAAUAUAUUUAGUGCAAUUUCAUUCUUGUAUGUUAGAUCUGAUUUUUUUUUUCGGUUCAUUUUUUUAAUUUCGUUUUUUGUAUGUUAGAUCUGAAUAUUUAAGUUUUUAAUUUCGUAUUUAAAUUUUUUAAUUUUGUA